AUUGAACGCUGGCGGCAGGCCUAACACAUGCAAGUCGAGCGGAUGAGUGGAGCUUGCUCCAUGAUUCAGCGGCGGACGGGUGAGUAAUGCCUAGGAAUCUGCCUGGUAGUGGGGGACAACGUUUCGAAAGGAACGCUAAUACCGCAUACGUCCUACGGGAGAAAGCAGGGGGACCUUCGGGCCUUGCGCUAUCAGAUGAGCCUAGGUCGGAUUAGCUAGUAGGUGAGGUAAUGGCUCACCUAGGCGACGAUCCGUAACUGGUCUGAGAGGAUGAUCAGUCACACUGGAACUGAGACACGGUCCAGACUCCUACGGGAGGCAGCAGUGGGGAAUAUUGGACAAUGGGCGAAAGCCUGAUCCAGCCAUGCCGCGUGUGUGAAGAAGGUCUUCGGAUUGUAAAGCACUUUAAGUUGGGUAGGAAGGGCAGUAAGGUUAAUACCUUAGCUGUUUUGACGUUACCAACAGAAUAAGCACCGGACUAACUUCGUGCCAG
rnacentral:rRNA from 1 species